UCUCACCAAGGCCGGGGCGGCCUCUGGCUCACCCAGUAAGAGCGUUCGCCCCAUGUGGGCUGAGUCCUGCAGCGGCCCGGGUUCGAGUCUGACCUGCUGCCCUCUGCUGUGUGUCGUCCCCCAUCUCUCUCCCCCUUUCACGUCUAUCCACCGUCACUUGUAAUAAGGGGAAAAAGCCCCCAAAAAUAAUCUUUGAAUCUCACCAAGGCUGCGAUCACUUUGUUAGUUCACCACUGAUUUUAAAUAACGCUGAACUGAAUGUGUAAAUGAUGCACAUUCUUCUUAUUUAUUGCAUAAAAAGGGAGUUUUCUUCCCCGACUGACGUACUGAUAACACGCAAGGAAAAAAAGAUUUCAAAACAUUUUUAUAGGUUUAAAUCUUUUGAGAAGUCAUGUGAAUUUAGUUUUGUUUCCUGCAGUUGUUUUUACAACAUUUCCAGGAUGUUUUUCUUUUAUUAGCGAGUGACACUGACAUGUUUUCGCUGCUCGGUGUGU